rnacentral:rRNA from 6 species
UUGGGCGAGAGUAGUACUAGGAUGGGUGACCCCCUGGGAAGUCCUCGUGUUGCAUCCCU